AGUUCUUUGCUGUGGGAGGGGGGAGAGCCCUUUGGGAGCAAGUGAGCUAAGGCUGAAGGCAGGGAGCUGGGCAUGCUCCCUUAUGUGUGCUGAAGCUGCUGCCCUUUCUGAAUCAGCUCCCAGCUUCACCCAGGGGCUGGGGACAGCAAAUUUGAGGCCUGAACUGGGCAAGAAAGAGGGAGAAAGACAAACAGAAUAGAAGAGGUCUGCAAGCUAGGGCCCAGCUGCCUGCAGGUGCUCUGAGAAUUUCCAGACAGAUCAUAAAUGAACCUCUGGCCUUAACAUGGAGGACAUCGUGUGCUGCAACAAUGAGCUGAUGCCAACUGAUAUCUUGAGAAAGAAGAAUGAGCUAGAGAGGAAUGGGAUGAUGACAGAAGGCCUGGCCACCAGCAUCUCCCGGGCCCUGGAGCUGGUGGUGGACUUAAGACAGGACAGGAAAACGAACUGGUACUCAGGGAAUAUCCAGCUUGUUGUCCAGGCCGAUGGUUGCUGGCUAGAGUUCAAAGCAGGAGCUGCCAAAUUCACAGUGCUGGUGUGGUAUGACCAGUACAAGAAGGAAGUCAAAGUCCUCAAAACCUUCUGAGCAGAGAGGUGAAUAUGAUGGAUGUCCCCCCCCACCCUUCUCAAUCCCUCCCCAAAUAAAUGCCUCUGGUGCUUACAAAUUGCAA